UGGAACGAAACGACUGAUCAUGUAUAUUGCACUGGGCUGAGCUGUCACAAGAAAAGGCUCUGACAAUCAUAGCGUAAGACCGGUGUGACAGGACGAUGAAAUAAUGAAAGUAUCCUGGCAACCGUAUUUUCCUACCGACUGUGGCCUGCAACACUGUGACGACCGUCAGCUACAUUUUUCUGAAUUCAGGAGGCAACUACAAAACAACUGAUGAGUGCAAAAAUGAAAGAAUCAGAGCUUGCUGAGACACGCUUGCUUGUGAUGAUACAAAUAGUUCUCUCUCAGGACAGAGAGAGGUGUCUGUCGUCUUUACCAUUUCAAGCCAACGCUCAGCAUAGUGUCUGGUACAUCAAAGAAACCCAAGUGAAAAUUAAUACCAUGUGAUACAUGGUUUAUGUUGUCUUCUUCCACCUAUUCACUAUAAUUUGGAAAUGCUGAUGAGUAGAAUAAAUAUUCAAGAGAGAUGUGACGGAACAGAGGAGAGAAAAAGAAGUCUGAGUGG
rnacentral:lncRNA from 1 species